rnacentral:lncRNA from 1 species
AGGAAUUUGAUCGAACAUAUGGUGGGCAUACGAAAUAUGCCUUAACUCCAUACAUUUUGACAAAAGAGGAGGGAUAAUGUAUAGGGUAUAGCCAAUACAUUGAGUUAUAAUUUGUGUUUGAAUUUGUUUGACUUGCUUUAUAGUUUUACAUGAUUUCAAGAAUGUAAUGAACUUCUCUUCAAGGAGUCUAUGAGGAGUUUUUAAGAAUAUGUUUAGAGCAAUUUUAGCUAUUUUGGAAGGAAAAAAUACUUUGACAAUGGUGAAUUCAUAACCCGCUAAAUUUGAAAAUUCUUUGCAGAAGAGAGCUCAAAGCAAC